CCUACGGGAGGCAGCAGUGAGGAAUAUUGGUCAAUGGGCGCGAGCCUGAACCAGCCAAGUAGCGUGAAGGAUGACUGCCCUACGGGUUGUAAACUUCUUUUAUAAAGGAAUAAAGUGAGGCACGUGGGCCUGUUGGAAUGUACUUUAGGAAUAAGGAUCGGCUAACUCCGUGCCAGAAGCCGCGGUAAUACGGAGGAUCCGAGCUUUAUCCGGCUUUAUUGGGUUUAACGGGAGCGUAGAUGGGUUGUUAAGUCAGUGGUGAAAGUUUGCGGCUCAACCCUAAAAUUGCAUUUGAUACUGGCAGCCUUGAGUACAGUUGAGGUAGGCGGCAUUCGUGGUGUAGCGGUGAAAUGCUUAGAUCUCACG
rnacentral:rRNA from 1 species